UACGUAGGGGGCAAGCGUUGUCCGGAUUUAUUGGGCGUAAAGCGCACGCAGGCGGUUCGGUAAGUCGGAUGUGAAAACCCAGGGCUCAACCCUGGGAUGCCAUUCGAAACUGCCGGGCUAGAGGCAGGUAGAGGAGAGUGGAAUUCCUGGUGUAGCGGUGAAAUGCGUAGAUAUCAGGAGGAACACCGACAGCGAAGGCAGCUCUCUGGGCCUGUCCUGACGCUCAGGUGCGAAAGCUGGGGGAGCAAACAGG
rnacentral:misc_RNA from 1 species